rnacentral:rRNA from 1 species
UACGUAGGGUGCGAGCGUUAAUCGGAAUUACUGGGCGUAAAGCGUGCGCAGGCGGUUCGUUAAGUUCGUCGUGAAAGCCCCGGGCUCAACCUGGGAAUGGCGAUGGAAACUGGCGGGCUGGAGUGUGGCAGAGGGGGGUGGAAUUCCGCGUGUAGCAGUGAAAUGCGUAGAUAUGCGGAGGAACACCGAUGGCGAAGGCAAUCCCCUGGGCCUGCACUGACGCUCAUGCACGAAAGCGUGGGGAGCAAACAGG